rnacentral:rRNA from 1 species
AUUGAACGCUGGCGGCAGGCCUAACACAUGCAAGUCGAACGAGUGGCGGACGGGUGAGUAAUGUCUGGGAAACUGCCUGAUGGAGGGGGAUAACUACUGGACACGGUAGCUAAUACCGCAUACCAUCGGAUGUGCCCAGAGGGGCUAAGCUAGUAGGUGGGGUAAAGGCUCACCUAGGCGACGAUCCCUAGCUGGUCUGAGAGGAUGACCAGCCCCACUGGAACUGAGACACGGUCCAGAUUCCUACGGUCGUCAGCAGUGGGGAAUAUUGCACAAUGGGCGCAAGCCUGAUGCACCCAUGCCGCGUGUAUGAAGAAGGCAUUCGGGUUGUAAAGUACUUUCAGCGGGGAGGCGGUACCCGCAGAAGAAGCACCGGCUAACUCCGUGCCAGCAGCCGCGGUAAUUC